UGUCUCUACAAAAAAAAUUUAAAGAAACAAAAGGAAAAAUAGCGCAAGCACGUAACCUGACGCAGAGGAUCCAGGUGAGAGGGACUAGGAGCGUAUGGGCGUUCAGUUUCCCUGAGCCUGGCUUCUCGCGCUUAGCGUCCUCCUGGAACUCCGAGGGGAGUGGGCAGAGGCCUCUGGGCCUCGCUGCAGUUUCGGUUGUCGACACGCGGGGGAGCAAGAGCCGGCGAAGAGCAGCUGUAAAUACCGUAAUUCCCUCCCAUCUGUCCCCACGACCGGCACGACAGUGAUGGAGGCCAGAGGGGCGCGAGGAGGGAGAGGCUAGGGGUUACAGACUGUAGUGUAACCUGAGAUGGGCUGGAUCUACCUAUGACAGAGGAGGCUCUGCGCAGAGAAGCAGGGUGCCCACAUGCUGAGUCUCCCAACUGGCUCCUCCACGCUGGGCUUUCUGCUGUACCAUUUUCUGAGGCUUUCCCCAAGAUUGCCAGUGAGGGUGGCUGUGACGACUGAAGGGAGUACUGCAUGCAAAAGUGCUGGCGUGGAGGAGGCGGCAGAAGAGGGCGGCGGCGGGGCACGGCAGCCACUGCCUGAGCUCAGGCUCCAGGGCAGGAAACCCACCUGACAGGCCACUCCUUCAGCUCGCCUCCCCCAGUGGGCUCCCUCCCCUCUCUCUGCAGGGCCACACCUCUGGGAGGAUGCUCAGGGCUUGCACAGCGCUGAAGGAACCCCAAGGAGCCUACACCCCUUAGCCUGUCAUGCCAGGCCCUCCCCUACCUACGCCCCGCGGCCACUCCCCACCCAGCCCCCCCGACCUGCUCGACACCCCCAAACAAGCCAUGCACACCUCCCUGCCUUUGCCCAGGCUGCAUCCUUUCCGGGUCACAUGCCCUUCCCUCUCCCCCUCCUCAAGACAGCUAAAUCCUGCUCAUUGUUUAGGGCCCAGCUCAAAUGUCA
rnacentral:lncRNA from 10 species